rnacentral:rRNA from 1 species
AGGACGAACGCUGGCGGCGUGCUUAACACAUGCAAGUCGAGCGGUAAGGCCUCUUCGGGGUACACGAGCGGCGAACGGGUGAGUAACACGUGAGUAAUCUGCCCUCCACUUGGGGAUAAGCUUCGGAAACGGGGUCUAAUACCUGAUACGACAACUUCCUGCAUGGGAUGGUUGUGGAAAGUUUUUUCGGUGGGGGAUGUGCUCGCGGCCUAUCAGCUUGUUGGUGGGUAAUGGCCUACCAAGGCUUCGACGGGUAGCCGGCCUGAGAGGGUGCCGGCACGACGUGGACUGAGACACGGCCCAGACU